rnacentral:lncRNA from 1 species
CUGGAAAAAAAGGAGUAAUUAGAAGAAAAGAUGGAAUAAUCUGAGAGAGGGUGGAGAUUUUUGGAGUCAUCACAUGGUAUGUGGAAUUGAAGCCAAGAACUGUGUGUCCUAAUAAUUUCUUUGCUGUUUUUGCUGAUCUCACAGCAAAUUAAAUGAUUUCUCCAACACAUGGGUCAUACACCCCACUUUACACAGAUUGCAGAUUGAAAGCUGGAAUUUUAAGAAUGUUACGUGGAUGUGCUGGAACCACAGAUGUUACAAUGAAGCAGAUCUCAUGUUACUUCAGCAAUCUCAGCGUGAAAGUUGAUUUCAGGUGGUGGAAAAUACAGUUUCAAUCCAAGUGGCAAUGAAAAUUUUAUGCACAGAAGAACUGGAUUAUAUAGGAGUCUAAGAAAAUGUUGUUUCUUCCUUGAAAACAUUAUGUGAAACAACAUGCACUGUGUGCAUGUUUGUGCAAUCACACAAAUUUGAGUUUUGACUCUGAGUUUCUAUCAAUGAAAAUUGUAACUGUAUCAAUUAAACCUGGUAAUUAACACUCUGUGUCAUUAGCUCUGUUGGCUGUCAGUGUACUAUUAAUUGUAUGUGUAUACAUGUGAAUAAUGCAUAUAAUAAAUGUAUUAAAUGACUUCUAAAUGUAAUUGAU